GGUACCUUAGCUCAGAUGGUAGAGCAAUGGACUGAAAAUCCAUGUGUCCCCAGUUCGAUUCUGGGAGGUACCA
rnacentral:tRNA from 1 species